UGCAUGUGCGCGAAAUCGAGCUGCGCCUGAAGGGCUUGAUCACGGGCAAGGCGCGGGGCUUCACCAUCCCGCUGUCCGUGGAGGGCCAAGUCAGUCUGCUCAUCUCUGAAGCCACGGCAGACAAGAACCUCUGCCAGAUGUACAUAGGAUGGGCGCCCUACCUUUAACUAUAGGAUAAGCGUCCUACCUUUAACUGUAGGAUGGGCGACAAGAACCUCUGCCAGAUGUACAUAGGAUGGGCUCCCUACCUUUAACUAUAGGAUGGCAGACAAGAACCUCUGCCAGAUGUACAUAGGAUGGGCUCCCUACCUUUAACUGUAGGAUGGGCACCCUACCUUUAACUGUAGGAUGGGCGCCCUACCUUUAACUAUAGGGUGGGCGAUAUGAACCUCUGCCAGAUGUACAUAGGAUGGGCUCCCUACCUUUAACUGUAGGAUGGGCGCCCUACUUUUAACUGUAGGAUGGGCGCCCUACCUUUAACUAUAGGAUGGCCGACAGGAACCUCUGCAAGAUGUACAUAGGAUGGGCGCCCUACCUUUAACUGUAGGAUGGGCGCCCUACCUUUAACUGUAGGAUGGGCACCCUACCUUUAACUGUAGGAUGGGCACCUUACCUCUAACUGUAGGAUGGGCGCACUACCUCUAACCAGUGUCAGUGCGUCCUGUUUGUUAGAUAUGACUGAGCGCCCUACCUUUAACCAUUAAAAAUACCUGUUUUGAGGUCCUGUUCAGUUGUAUGGUAUUUUUAGGUCCUGUAUUGGUAUUAUUAGGUCCUGUUCGUUGAGUAUGGCUGCAAGCCUUACCUAGAUCUGUUGGAAAUGCCAUGGCCUGGUAUCAGUAGGUCCUGUUUGUUGGGUAUAGAUGGCCACUUCACCUUUAUCACCAUCAGAAAUACCCUGCCAUGUGGUAUCAGUAGGUCCUUUUUAUCGAGGAUAUAACAAUUAUAUAAAGGCUUAUUUAUAGUUCUGUAAAAUGACAUGUUUUUGGCAUCAGUGGAUCAUGUUAGUAGUUUAAGAAUGGAAGCCUUACUGUCACUUUUUACAAGUGCCAUGUGUUGGGUGUUAUUGAAUCAUGUUCGUAGAGUAUGGAUGGAAGCUUUACUUGUAAUCAUGAAAUAUACUCAGUGUUUGAGUCACAUGACUUGGUUAAUUAUAUGUCUUCAAGUUCAAAAUGUCUACACAAGUAGGCAUUAAACAAGUAUAUGGAGCCAAAUACUGAGGAAUUGUUUAGAUACAAUUUUUUGGUCCAUUGGAACCUAUGCCUAGACGUUGUCUGGGCUAACAUAAGUUGUAAAUUCAAAUCGAAUCGCUAACAAUUCGUAGAUUUUAUCGGUUAAGAGUUUCAAGACUUCAUAUCAGUUAAUUAAAUGAGGAAUAUUUGUAAAUUUGGUUUGGUAAAAAGCCCUUCUCCAUGAUGAAAAAAA
rnacentral:lncRNA from 1 species